rnacentral:lncRNA from 1 species
UUUAAAUAUAGAAUACUAAUGAUCCAGGGACUAAUUAUGUUUCUAAACUUAUCAGAACCAACAUCUGUGUUGUCUAGGAUGACCAGGUCAUUUCAGGUGAUGACCUUGUACUGAAUCUAGGAUAAUGACAUAAAAAUCACUUGUUUAAGUACCAUACCUCAAUUUCCUUCCCAAAAAUCACUUCUUUAAGUAUCAUUAUUUUAAUAACCCCCACUAAUUUCAACAUCCACGAACAGUGAAAUUUUUAUCGCGAACAGUAGAAUUUUAUUACAUAAUCUGAAAGAUGAAACCUUAAACUUCACAGGAAAAAUACUCCCACUGCUGGGAAAAAUCUUUUAAGAAAGUAUCAGUUCAUUAUGUAAAG